AUGCACACCCUGACACACUCAGAGCUUCAUGUGCAAAACCAGCAUCAAAACCUAUCUGAGCUGGCUGGCAUUUUCCGGAACUGGACCUGGAUGUUUGGAGCCACAGGAAGGCACAUUCCCGGGAUCGUUCCCAGCCAGAAGCACCAGGAUGCCUGGAGGAUGACAGUGCUCUGAAAUUCUGUUCACAGAUUCUACUGGCCCCUCCAGGGAAGUUAUAUUAAGCAGGCUGAAUGGAAAGAGAGGCUAACCAACAGAACACAGCAACAAGAUGAAGAAACAAUCAAGAUAAAGAUGAAGUUUGAAGACUGCUAUCCUGUACAAAUCGCCGAAGUGGAGUGUUCCUGUGCAGCUGGUACUGUGUUGUGCAAUCACAGUGUUGCACUACUGUACCAGACCGCACACUACUCUGCUCUGAAUUUGACUGCUGUGCCGCCUAUACUAAGCUGUACUGAAUCGGAACAGAGCUGGCACAAACCAAGGACCAUGGGAGUGAAACCAGGAUGUGAACGCAACAAGGAUGGAAACAUAGUUUUGCAAAGUAUUUUAAUUGAACAUAUCACCUGAAGAAGCCUAUUUAACAGUUUGAGAAACAAAAUUAACCAACACCCACAUUUAGCUUUUUGCCAUCGCAUCUAAAUCUAUACCAUUUCAUUAAACAUCUGAGAAUUUAA